rnacentral:rRNA from 1 species
CAGUCGCCGCGGUAAUACGAAGGGUGCAAGCGUUAAUCGGAAUUGCUGGGCGUAAAGCGUGCGUAGGCGGUUUGUUAAGUCUGCUGUGAAAUCCCCGGGCUCAACCUGGGAAUGGCAGUGGAUACUGGCAAGCUAGAGUGUGUCAGAGGAUGGUGGAAUUCCCGGUGUAGCGGUGAAAUGCGUAGAGAUCGGGAGGAACAUCAGUGGCGAAGGCGGCCAUCUGGGACAACACUGACGCUGAGGCACGAAAGCGUGGGGAGCAAACAGGAUUAGAGACCCCUGUAGUCCCUGUCUCUUAUAC